rnacentral:rRNA from 1 species
AUGGCGGAUGCCGUAGGUGCGACUCCCCUCCUCCCCGGCCUCCCGGACGAGAUCUCCAUCUGGGAGAUUCUCGUCCGGCUGCCCCCCAAAUCCGUCCUCCGCAGCCGCGCCGUUAGCCCCGCGUGGCGCCGCGCCACCUCCACCCGCGGCUUCCUCCUGUCCCACCACGCCCGCCAGCCCGCCCUCCCCCUCCAGUACACCCACAGCAUCGUCGCCGACGGCGGCGAGUCCCUGGACGUCGUCCCCUUCGACCACCGUGCAGGGGUCGCCGCCGCCGACCGGUUCCAGUGCGUCGCGCGACUGCAAAGGGCUCCACACUUCUAUCAUGCUCCCCGCUUCUAUCUGGAGGCCUCCUGCGACGGCCUCCUCGUUCUCUCCUUCGGCUUUGACGACAUCUGCAUCUGCAACCUGGCAACUCGACAGUAUGCUCCGCUCCAGCAGGUUCAUGGAUUCAGCCCCGUGGAGCUGUAUCCUCACCCCUCUACCGGUGAGUACCGACUGUUGCUGUACCAGGGUGAAGAUCAAGAUGCCAUCUACGUUUUCACAGUAGGCUCCGGCCAGCCGCCGAGGCACAUAAGCUGCCCUGAUCCGCUCGAACUGCAAGAUUGCCCUGGACUCCUGUUCCAUGGUAGCCUAUAUUGGUACAUAGGCAACCGGAUAAUGGUAUUCGACACCACCGCCGAGUCGUUCCGGCAGAUCCGUGCUCCGGUGGCCAGUGACCACGCCCGACUAUUUGAGAUGGGUGAUAUGCUUGGUGUCUCGUCUCUUAAUGAUGAGGAGACAGCCAUUGAUAUCUGGGUGAUGCGGGACUACCAAGGCGAGGUCUGGGAUUUCAAGCGUCGGAUUGACUUGCCGGCCGCGGAGAUCAGGCACCAGUGUCAAUGUUCUCUCUCUGAAGAGGAUGUGAUGGUUGUGCCUGGGGACGGUGAGUUGGUCGUGCUGGUCGGUUGUAAUGGCUGGCUGUUUCAGGUUGAUGUCAAUGGCAAGUUGAUUGCUAGUUUCCAACCCAGAGGCCUCAAUUCUACUCUAUAUGUGCUCAAGCAGACUCUUGUUCAACAUACCUUUUUUCCGGCACUAGAGGGUUAUGUUGUGAAUGCCUUGCCUUUUAUCUGA